GUCCUCGGCUUUGUUUACUUUCUCAUUGCAAAUGUCAGCAGCUCAGCUGUUGAGCCCUGAUAAAGCUUCAGUGGCUCUCAUUCUAGACGUGACCUUUAGCACCCAGCCUUCUGGCCGCCUUUUCUUUGGCAUAGCGUGUGCACUGAACUGGCUUCCAAGGGGCAGCAGAGAGAAGCUUCCCUAGAGCCAUUUGUAAAUGCAGCUUUCUUCAGCUGCAGUAACUCAGGUUCCUCUUCUGCUCUUUCGGGCAGCAGUUACCUUGAAGUCUGCCUUAUUCCUGUGGGUGUCUAGUUCCCAGAUGUGGGCCACAGACAUGGGGCCAGCAGCUGCCUCCCUGUGCACCUGAGGUCAGAGCUCAGUUAUUAUCGGCCUGCUUGCCUGCCUGCUUUCCUCCCUCCCUCCUUUCCUCUCUCCCUCUUCCCUUCCCUCUCUCCUUUCCUCCCUUCCUUCCCUCCUUCCCUUCUUUUUUCCCUUCUCUCUCUCUCUCUCUCUCUCUCUCUCUCUCUCUCUCUCUCUCUCUAUGCACACACAGAUACAUAUUAGGGUCUACCAUUCUUAUAAUUCCAGGCUUCAGUCCAUUGUUGAGGGGAAGUCAAGGCAGGAACUUGAAGCGGUUGUUCACAUCACAGCUCAGUAAGCAGCAAACGCCAAUGUUCAGUUAACCUCCAUCACAGUCUAGGCCCUAGCCCAGGAAUGGUGCUACCCACUUUUAGGGUGGUCCUCUAUGAUCAAUGCAACUGAAGCAGCCCCCCCCCCCAGACAUGCCCCCAGGCCGGCCAUAAUCUAGACAGUCCCUCACCAAGACUCUCCUCACAGGUUAAUCUAGAUCAUGUCACGUUGACAGUUGGAAUCCACCAUCAAUGGAAUCACCAUUGGCCAGGUCAUGGAAAGACUGGGACAUGAGGCAGACCAGGCUGUAAAUCACAGUCAGUCAGGUGUCAGCAAAACAGCUGAGUGUGCAGAAUAAAAUCCCCCUCAGUGAGGCGGGGCGGGGGCGGGGGCGGGGCGGGAGUGGGAGAUCUGUUGCUUCAAGGAAAACUAAAACCAGUUAGAGAAAGGGUUGUGUAGGACUCAGCAGAGGGUGCUGGAGGCUGCACUGAGAUAUAAAUCCUUCCUGGAAUUCUUUUGGAAAUGAGCAUUCCCCACCUCCCAAGCCCCCCAGGUCUAGAACUCAAGAAAAGUCAGGUAAAGAGAGUAGAAGCAUUACAAACUUUCUGAGUGAAGUACUGCUUGCCGGCGAGCACAGAGAUGUUGCUGGUUUGAAAGAACUCAUCACCUCUGCGUCAGCAAAGCCCAGAUAGAGACAUAGGCAGUGUGGGGUUGAAGGUGAAGGUCGGUGUUCCUGGAGACAGCAGUUACUAUGGUCAAAACUCAAACUUGGCGAUGCCUCAGCUGCUGGUGAGUGUCGGGGUGUGAAGAGAAUAAAUAUUAGAGAAGUUUACAGACAAAAUUCACUCCAUGCAACUCUCACGACUGAUGUUCUGACACAAAACAUUGAGGAGGACCAAAUCCUUAAAGGGGCUGCAGCAGUGCCGGACGGAGUCUGUAGCACUGUUAGUUUUUGCGAAGAGAUUUGAACACUGCACCGUUCUGAUGCCAUCAGAAAGUGUGUACGAGUCAACUGGUUCCAGGAAUCAAAUGCUGCUAUGAGGCCUCGUUCUUUUCAUCCCCGUCAGGUGCCACGGUGAGCUGAGACUCUAGAAGACAGCAUGGGACCAGCAGACCGCCCAUAUCUGGUCUCCACACCCGGGGCCCACAGCCUCCCUUCUUCCUCCCACCAUGACUCUCCUCAGGCCCCAAGCCCAUCUCACACACCUUCCUGAUUUCUAGUUGAUUGUUUUCACUAAGGAGACAAGCCUGAGCUAAGUUCAGGGUGUCAGCCCUGAGGCCCCUCUGCUGCUGCGCCCUGGCUGAGCUUGGCAUUCACCGGGUGGGUCUCACUAUGACCACAGCACAAACGCUGAACACAGAGAAGAAGUCACCCCGCUUGGCCCUUCCUGGCAACUAAGCGCAGGCCUGCAUGGCCUCGACUGCCAACCUCCAGCCGUGGGAACUUCUUAGUGCUUCUUUCUGGCCACUUGGAUGUCAUGGUUGGAAGGACCUGUGAGAGAUCAGACGUGAUGUUUCCUGCCUUUCUGAAGACAAGGGCCUCAGUGUCCUAGUCAGAGAUGACGGUCAGAGAAGCCAUCGUGAUGCUCAUCCUCCUUCAGGGCCAAAGGCUAACGUGUCAAGAGAACCUUGACGUUUGCUCUGCCAAUUCACAUCGCCUCUUCUUUGUUGGCUUUGACCGUGAAGAGCAUAAAAGGCAGUCUGGCUUAAGGGAUCCAUAAACAGUUUGCCCAAAGGUCAUUACAGACUAGUCCUGUCUUUGUUCUCACCUAUUCUUUGUCUGGUGUUUGCUUGGCGUGGUGGACCGUGAUGGGCCAUGAUUGUACUCCAGCUCACCGUCUGGAUGGUUCCUUUUGUGGUUGGGGCUAUUCAAAGUCAGGCGCAUGAGUCUGGCUGCCUCCCACUGGACAGAGUUCUGACUGCAGCUUUCCGGGACCCAGAUGACUCAAGAAUAUAUGGGGACAGGUUGCUUGUGGACAAGAGUAAGGUGUUGCUUCUCACAGAGAAGUCACCUCAUUUUCCUGUAAGCUGGGGCAGCUGGUACUUUGUCUUCACUAAGACCGUAUGCCUUCUGUCAUGUUAAGUCUGGUCCUUCCCUGUCUCCCAUCCCCUACUGCUUUGAUGAGGAACAGGUAUGAACAAUCCCAAGAUGUCUUCUCUAGGCCAGCUCUCCAGACUCUCUGAGUUGGGUCCAUCCAGUCAGGGGAAGGACACAGUGCUGUCCUGUACCUGUGGCUGUGGCUGUCUCUGUGACCAGGGUCACACGGUGUCCUGUCAUCAGCAGAACUGGAAUUGGUCCAGUGACAUAAAAAGUGGCCUUUCUUUCUUUUUGCCCUUCAUGUACGAGCCAAUGAAAGAAAGAGAGCCUGUGGAGUUGGGAAAGCCCCGUUGAUGGCUGGGGCUCUGGGAGAGCCAGAGAAAUAAGAAAAUGCAAGCUCAGCCUGGUGUCACUGGCCUGUCACCCCCAGCUACCUGGGAGCUGAGGCGGGAGGAGCCUGGAGGGGCUACACAUCUCACAGCUGACCUGGGUAACAGCAAGACCCUGUCUCAGAAUGAAAAAGUAAACACACUGAUAAAGGGGCCGGGAGAAUAAAACAGAUACAUCUCAGAGCUUCUGGACCUGCUGAGCAGGCACGGGGCCCAGGGGGAGAAAAGGGGAUGGAGGGAAAAAGGAAGAAAGGAAAAAUGAAAGUAAUUACCAAUAGACAAGAGUACUAAAUAGUGGCCACCUUCAACCUUUAACUAUUCCAAAAGCAACGUUUGUUUAGUGGCACUCCCAGGGCCUUCCGUUGCUCUGAAUCAGGUGGGGGAGGGAAGGCUGGCUUCGUUUUAUACCACGGGACGGGGUUUGUGCUUUUGGGGAGCAAAACAUGACUUUACCCCUGAAGUGGAUUAAGUCACAGGCAGAGCUGCGAAGGCAAGAGACUGGAAGAAUUAAGGAGCAAGAAGAACGCUGCCGCUUCCAGCCGGCUGUAGCGAAGCUGAAGUCUCAGUGCCAGGCGAAAGCAGGAAGCUGGUGCCACCCAUGAAUAGGAGAGGGAAACACCUGUGUGGCCAGCACCCAGGCUGAGAGAAGCCCCUCUCGGAUGAUUCUGCCACCGCUGACCUUCGGGGACACAGUUCAUUCUGUUCAUCUUUGCGCCUAGAGAUGGAAUUUCACAGUGGAGCCUCUUUGGAAUCUGUUUCCUUCCCUUUCUCAUUAAAAAAAAAAAAAACUUUACUUUUAAUCAUGUGUGUCUGUGUAUGUACACGUGAAUGCAGUGCCCUCAGAGGCCAGAAGAGGGCGACGGAGUUGUAGGGGGUUGUGAGCCACCAGGAGUGGGUGAUGGAAACUGAACUCCAGACCUCUGCAAAAUACUAAGUGCCCUUACCCACUGAGCUUCUCUCCAGCCUGGGAUCCAGCAUGUUUUGUUUCUGAGCUUGGUCCACAUGCUGCAUGUAGUGUGCACCAUGCAUUAUAUAGUGGUCAAUGGAUAUCUGAUCCAUUUUUCCCAAGAGUUAGGGAGGUAGCUAGCCUGUGUGUGUGUGUGUGUGUGUGUGUGUGUGUGUGUGUGUGUGUGUGUGUGUGUGUGUGUUAAUUCUUCUUCUGAUGUCUCGUGGUGGUCUUGUUGAUAUAUUUCUUCUGUGUGCAGAUCCCCCAGGGCUCCUGGGUGUGAGUGAGAGUAGAUGCCACCAAAUUGCAUGCUCCUGCACUGUGGCCUGCGCGUGAGAUUACCAGCUCUCUAUGCCCUCACUAAAGUGUGCUUUUUUUGCACUGGCUGCUGUGGUGGUCAGCAGCUGCUCACGUAGAGGAUGAAGAUGCUGGGGCUUGGGAAGGUGCUAAUAUCCCUCCUCUUGCCAGUGAUGAACGGUAGCAUCCCAGAGGCGUCCUGUAGAGUCUGCGCAUCAGAGCCAUUGCCACAGGGGGUGCCUCCCUGUCUGGGUGCUGACCACACUGGCUGGCCCUGGCAGUGUCCUGAUACUGGUACCCCAUCCACUUCCGUGGGUCUUCCUGCUGGGUACUGUAGAAGCAUCCUAGGUAUCUACCAUUACGAUCAGUCGUGUAUGUUCCCAUGUUCACACAUGUGUAUGCAGGUGGAUAUGCAUUUGUGUGCAGAGGCCAGAGGUCACUGUCAGGAAUUUUUUUUUUCUCUAUAGAUCUCCACCUUUUCCUCUGAGAUACGGGCUCUCACGGAACCUGGAACUUACCACCUGAGCUAGGCUAGUUGGCCGGCAACCCUCAAGGACCCACCUCUCUCUACCUAUAGGUGUGCCCUAUCAUACCUGAUUUCUGAAGUGACUGCUAGAGCUCUAGACGCGGGUGGGUCCUCAUACCUGGGCAGAAGUCACUUUAAUCAGCACUGAUUGUCAUUUGGAAAAUGUCAUUUUCAGACCCUAGAAAACUUCAAGCUGCCCCCAGAUCUCAUUCUGACUUCAUAUUUAAGAUUUCAGAUUCCGUCUAAUGAGUCUUAGAGUCAGCUCUUGGUUCUUCUGCCUUCUUCAGCCAGUGUCUGAUGGGAGAGGCUAAACAUCCCAUCCUGAACAGGAUAAAGCCUGUCGGCCCAUAGCAGAGCCUUCCAGCAGGCAGGCAGCCAGAGGGGUGCUACCCUGAGGCUCUUGGGAACGGUGCGUAUGAGCCUUUUGCAGCUAUGUGGAAAACCAGGCAAAGGGUGAAGAUGGGAACAAGAGACUGGAGAGAGGGCUCAGCAGCGACUAAGGAGGGAUGGCUCAGCAGGGACUAAGGGCAAGUAUUGCUCUUCCACAGGACCCAGGUUCAGAACCAGCACCCACACUGAGCAAACUACAACUACCUGUAACUCCAGCUCCAGGGAUGGGGAGUGAUUGUGAAAGAUAUCUAAUGUCAACUUCUGGCCUACACACACACACACACACACACACACACACACACACACACACACACGUAUACGCACACUCACACAGAAGAAAAUUAUAAUUCCUAAAGAGAUCAUUUCCUUGUGUGUGUGUGUGUGUGCGUGUGUGUGUGUGUGUGUGUGUGUGUGCGUGUGUGUGUGUGUGUGUGUGUGUGUGUGUAAUGUUGAGAUGAAUGGUAAAGAAAUAAGAUGAAGUGAAGCAGAGAGAGCUGCCAAGGUUCUCGUGAGGAAAUGAGUGCAAACUCUGGUCAGGAUGUAUAGUAUGAAAGAAGAGUAACUAAAAAGAAAAAAUAGGACCUGUGCUAGAAGUAGGGUUAAGGUGUGUGUGACCUCUGUGCAUGAGUAGUUUGUGUGUGCAAAAAGUGUAUGUGUGUGUGAGACCUCUGUGUGAUUAGUGUGUGUGUGCAUGGAAUGUGUGUGUGUGACUGCAUGAGUAAUGUGUGCGUAGAGUGUGUGUGUGUAGCAGUAAAUAUUAAACAAAUGGUUAAUGUUUCCAGACACCAUGCCACGCUACCUCCUGCUACUCUCUGUCCCCGCAGUCUCUGCACCUCCAUGACUAGCCCCAUCAGUGGCCAUCCAUCUGGUUCCCAUGGUGGGUCGCUGCCACACCAGUCCCAUCCAGAGACCUCCUAUCUCUCAGCCCUCUUGCUGUGGACUCUGCUCACAUUCCCAGCAACCCGGUAAAAUCAAAACUUUAGAGGCUUAUAAUUUAUCAAUCAGAUUUAUAUCAAUAAACUCUCACUCCACACAAUAAACUCAGAGCCAAUUGCUAUUGAUAUAAACUGCCCACCUAGAUAAGACAAAUCGUCCUAUAAUUAUCCAUCCCUUAUAAGAUUUUCACAACUACCUAUGGCUAUUUAAAGCCACAGGGGGGUGGGUCAUCCUUCUCCUCCUCCAUCUUCUCUUCAUCCCCCUUCUAUCUCUCUGGACUCUCCAAAACUCUGCCCCACCUUUCUUUUGAACUGCCCAAUCACAGGCCUUGCCUUACCUUGUGCCUGCCCUCACCUGCAUAUAGACAUCAAUCCACGUCUGUGUAUGAAGUAUGUGUGUAUAACUUCUGUGUAUAAGUAGUGUAUGUACAUGAAGUGUGUGACCUCUGUGUGAUGAUUAGUGUGUGUGCAUGAAGAGUGUGUGUGACCUCUGCCCAUGAGUAGUAUGGGGGCAUGAAGAAUUAUGUGUGUGUACACAAGUGUAUCUUCUUUCUAUCACCUGAUCCUAUUUUUAUUAACCCCUCUCCUUUGUAAGAUGAACAGGGUACUAAAGAAAUAAAAAUAGUACACUCUGUAUCAUUUGUGUGUGUACGUGUGUCUGUGUGCAGGUGCACAUGGUGGACAUGCUUGUGGAAGCCAGAGGACAGCCUCAGUUACCAUUCCAUAGGCACUGUCCCCUCAUUUUCCUGAGACUGGAUCUCUCGCUGGCCUGAAACUCAUCAAAUAGGCUGGGCCAGCCAGCCAGCAAAUCCUGGGGAUCUGCUGUCUCUGCCCGUCACCCCUCAGUGUUGGGGUUACAAGUCCAGAUCAUCGCAUUCAGCUUUAAGCGAAUGUCACCUCUGGGGAUCAAAUUCAGGCCCUCUGGCUGGCAAGGCAAGCACUUUACUGACAGCCACCUCCCUGGCCUUAUCAUGUGUAUUUUAUAAUAGAUACAUAAUGAAAUCAUGUGCCUAAAUAAAUCCUUCCUAUUUAACAAAAGCAGUAGGUAGGGGCUGGAGAGGUGGCCCAGCGGCUAAGAACGCUGCUGCUCUUGCAGAGAGGAGCCUAUUUUGGUUCCUAGAACCCAUAGUAGGCAGCUCACCACCUCUGAGUCCACUUUAGGGGAUCUGGCGCCCUCUUCUGGCCUCUCACACCACUGCACUCAUGUGCAUGUGCCACUCCCCAUGUAAAAAUAAACCUUUGAAAUAGAUUGAUGGGUGUGUUUUCAAUAAAAAUGUAUGCUAAAGUAUACAUCGUAUAUGCAUGUGUAUUUCGUUUAACCCAUUGAGUCCAGUCAAUGCUGCCCAUAUGCAUAUGGUUGUGGGGUCAUCCAUUAAGGCAUGGGUAAUCUGCCAGUGGCCACUACUUAAAGAAAAGUGACUUCCUGUCUGUGGCAGCCAUCAACUGCCAGCAGCAGCAGCCUUGCUGCAGUCUCUCUGCUGGAAGUUGUUAGGAGAUGCCUUUGUUUUUAUUUCAUGUGCACAGGUGUUCUGCUUGCAUAUGUGUGUGCACCAUGAACACGCCUGGUGCCCAAGAUUGUGAAGGGGCCUUGGAACUGGAGUUAUAGACACGAUGACGUCAUGUGGGACCAAAGCUGGGUUCUCUGCACGUGCAGCAAGUGCUUAGAAGCACCAGGCCCUCUCUCCAGCUCUCUGGAAUACUGAACCAGUUUGACCUUGGUAACAGUAGUUGCUAUCGGCUCAUGUGUGCAGUGGCCAUGAGGUUCCCAGGGGAGAGCAGUUCACUCCACCCCAUGCUGGUGUUUUAUACAUUGUCCUCUAUAGCAUUCCAUGGAGCAGGACUCCAUCUCAAUGGCUGUGGUGGUGUUAUACGGCACUGAAGUAACCCAUCACGGCCUACCUGCCAGACAGUGUGUUCCAUCACUCCGUGAAGUAUGUGUGUAUCUUCAUCUAUUUGGCCAUCCCUCGCUGGGGACUGGAUUCUUCUUUUUAUACAAUACUGCAACAAACACCCUCGCAUGCCAUGAAGACCCACCACCCUUUACAAUAUUUUCUGUUUAAAAUCCAUGCCUAAGUUAGAACAGCCAACAUCAAUGCGUGAGGGAAAGCCUUCCAGAGCUACGGUGGUCCCACCCAGGUGGUUUGCCGAGGGUCCUGGCAGCCGCCCAGUCCUUUGCGUUCAAGGGAGCAACUCACAUUUGGUCCAUCAGAAAUGCAAACAUGAUCUACGUGGGUAGAGUCUGAGGGAACACACCCUGGUCACGUUCUUUAUAGCAAUGCUGUCCGCCCAGUUUGAUCUGUUUAUUAUUGAUUAAGCAAAUAGAUAGCACCGAGUCCCGUGUAAACCAUAAUGGGGUUAGCGGCCUAUGUGGACUUAGUGCCUCCUCAUGCAUUUGGGAUGGGAAACGGGUAUUAAGCGCAGGUCAGAAUAACAACCCCAGGGCCUUACCACCAGAAUUUCCUUCCUUCUGAUAGUGCGUAAGGCACAGGCGGCAGGAAGUACUCACUGACCUUCCCAGAAGCCCGAAGCUCCCAAGUCCUUGUGCUGAAACAGACUUGCUGUGGGGCAGCCCUGCCAAACCCUUAGUCUUUUUUUUGGUUCUUUUUUUUUUUUUUUUUUCCGGAGCUGGGGACCGAACCCAGGGCCUUGCGCUUCCUAGGCAAGCGCUCUACCACUGAGCUAAAUCCCCAACCCCCAAACCCUUAGUCUUACGGAUAGCAUUUUGCUUGCUCUGAUGAACCCCUCUCUGCUUUCUCAGGCUGGAAUUCCAGGUGGAUUCCCAGGCCCACUGGCACUUAGGGGGGUUCUGGGGAUCUGAAUUUGGGUCCUCAUAUUUACCCAGCUAACACUUUCUCAUCUGAGCUAUCUCCCCAGACCACCCACCUCACAUCUGUCUGUCUAUCAUCUAUCUAUGUAUGUAUCUAUGUAUCUAUCAUCUAUCUGUGUGUCUAUCAAUCUACUAUCUUUCUAUUAUCAUCUAUCUAUCUAUCUAUCUAUCUAUCUAUCUAUCUAUCUAUCUAUCUAUCUAUCUAUUUUUGAGACAGGAUCUUCCCUUCCUAGAGCUUUCUGAUUUGACUGGGCCAUCUGGCCAGAAGUCCCGAGGACCCACCUGUCUCUGCACCUCCCCACCCCCA